rnacentral:rRNA from 1 species
AUUGAACGCUGGCGGCAUGCCUUACACAUGCAAGUCGAACGGCAGCACGGGAGCAAUCCUGGUGGCGAGUGGCGAACGGGUGAGUAAUACAUCGGAACGUGCCCAAUCGUGGGGGAUAACGCAGCGAAAGCUGUGCUAAUACCGCAUACGAUCUACGGAUGAAAGCAGGGGACCGCAAGGCCUUGCGCGAGUGGAGCGGCCGAUGGCAGAUUAGGUAGUUGGUGAGGUAAAGGCUCACCAAGCCUUCGAUCUGUAGCUGGUCUGAGAGGACGACCAGCCACACUGGGACUGAGACACGGCCCAG